rnacentral:antisense_RNA from 1 species
UCCGGAUUGGAAGCCCUGGGGAUCUGAGAGCCCCGCUAAUCUGGGGAUGACUCCUAGGAGUAAAAGACGGUCCACCUUAGUUGUCACGAGUAUCCCACUUUUUGGAAUCCCGCGGCGUUCACGUGUGUGCUACAGAGAAGGGCGCCAGAGGGUAUUCCCUGAAAGUGAAUGGUCGGCGAAAGCGGAGUAAAGACGGCGAGACGCGUCCACGCAGGGAGAGUCUUUGCGGUUUGGAGGAACGCGCCAGUGUCUGCACUGAUGAGGAGCCCCCAAGGGCGGUUUUAAGAGGGUGAAGCAGGGCCGGGCGCAGUGAUUUACGCCUGUAAUCUAAGUGCUUUGGAAGGCCUAGGCAGGAGGAUCUCUUGAGCCCAGGAGUUCGAGAUUAGCCUGAGACCUCAUCGCUACCAAAAUAAAUAAACAAAUAAAGUAGGCAUCCAUUUGUGUAAAACAAACCAUAUAUACACACAGAUAUAUAAACAUUUGUAUAUAUAGGUAUAGGCAUAGUUAUCUAUACCUCGUAAACCAAAAAUAAAAUUGUAAGCCUCCCCAACCAACUGA